rnacentral:rRNA from 1 species
AGUGAACGCUGGCGGUAGGCCUAACACAUGCAAGUCGAACGGCAGCCCAGUAAGAGCUUGCUCUUACGGGUGGCGAGUGGCGGACGGGUGAGGAAUACAUCGGAAUCUACUUUUUCGUGGGGGAUAACGUAGGGAAACUUACGCUAAUACCGCAUACGACCUACGGGUGAAAGCAGGGGAACUUCGGACCUUGCGCGAUUGAAUGAGCCGAUGUCGGAUUAGCUAGUUGGCGGGGUAAAGGCCCACCAAGGCGACGAUCCGUAGCUGGUCUGAGAGGAUGAUCAGCCACACUGGAACUGAGACACGGUCCAGACUCCUACGGGAGGCAGCAGUGAGGAAUAUUGGACAAUGGGCGCAAGCCUGAUCCAGCCAUACCGCGUGGGUGAAGAAGGCCUUCGGGUUGUAAAGCCCUUUUGUUGGGAAAGAAAAGCAGCAGGUUAAUACCCCGCUGUUCUGACGGUACCCAAAGAAUAAGCACCGGCUAACUUCGUG